rnacentral:rRNA from 1 species
ACGAACGCUGGCGGCAUGCCUAACACAUGCAAGUCGAACGAAGCCUUCGGGCUUAGUGGCGCACGGGUGCGUAACGCGUGGGAAUCUGCCCCUUGGUUCGGAAUAACAGUUAGAAAUGACUGCUAAUACCGGAUGAUGACUUCGGUCCAAAGAUUUAUCGCCAAGGGAUGAGCCCGCGUAGGAUUAGGUAGUUGGUGGGGUAAAGGCCUACCAAGCCGACGAUCCUUAGCUGGUCUGAGAGGAUGAUCAGCCACACUGGGACUGAGACACGGCCCAGACUCCUACGGGAGGCAGCAGUGGGGAAUAUUGGACAAUGGGCGAAAGCCUGAUCCAGCAAUGCCGCGUGAGUGAUGAAGGCCUUAGGGUUGUAAACUGCUUUUCUGAAAGAAUAAUUCUGAAUGUACUUCAGGAAUAAGUACCGGCAAAUCUCGU